rnacentral:rRNA from 1 species
CGGGACGGGUGAGUAACGCGUGGGCAACCUGCCCUUAUCUGGGGGAUAACAGUUGGAAACGACUGAUAAUACCGCAUAAUAUGGUUUGAAGGCAUCUUCUUUCCAUCAAAGAUUUAUCGGAUAAGGAUGGGCCCGCGUCUGAUUAGCUUGUUGGUGAGGUAACGGCUCACCAAGGCGACGAUCAGUAGCCGACCUGAGAGGGUGAUCGGCCACAUUGGAACUGAGACACGGUCCAAACUCCUACGGAAGGCAGCAG